AUGAAUGUGUUGAAAUUGCUCAGUUUGCUGUUCAUUCUGAUUCUCUGCCUUGGGAUGUUUACAGCUGAGAGUGCAGGUCUAAACGUUAGAAGAAAGUGCUGCUGCAAAAUGAAGAAGUCAGAGAAACACACAGCGCACAAAAGUAUGCUUAUCUCCUAUCCUGUCCAUAAUAAAAGAAUAAGAGUCAUUGCAGAUGGGUGCCAUCCAGGCCAUUCCUUAAUACAAACCAUAGCAAAAGCCUGAAGACAGAAGUUAGAUUUAAUUUUUUUUUUCUGUAGGUGAUUGUCAUUUCAAACUGGAGAAGCUUACCACAUUCAUUCCUUAUAUUCAUUGUGGCAAUUAUCAGAAUACUUCCUACUGGCCAUGCCAGUGGUGGCUUUUGCAUUUGUUAUCCAGAGAAGCAAUCUCUGUAUUCUGUCAAUUCUAAUGUCUGUUGUGGUAAAUGAAAACCUUCUCAUGCCAAAUUCUUUGAGGAGAAACAUGUUACAAUGUUCUAUAUGUGCAUGAGAAAUAGCCCUUUAGUAAUAAUGAGUAGACCUAACACCGGGUUAUUCAAGAAGUUGGACAACACCAAAUAAAUAUUUAACUUUUAAUCAAGAAAAAUUAUGAUCCCAGAAGUGACGUUUAACUUUAAAUCUUUAUGUGUGUUCUUUUCCGUUAAAAACACUUAUGUUUUCUUUAACUUGAAUUUAAUUUCCAGAUACUCUUGGACUCAGUAGGCAGAGGUAAUGAAUUUGGGGCAUCUACACUGUAGAAUCAUUACAGUUUGACACCACUUUAACUGAGUGUGACACUAUGCUGUGGAAUCCUUGGGUUUGUAGAUUGGUGAGAAAACAGAACUAUUUGACAAUGAAGGGUAAAGAACUCCAACUCCAAUGAUUCCCUAGAAUUCAAUUGUGUUAUUCAACAGUCUUAUCUUAAAUUUGAGCUUUAUGUAAAUAUUCAAAAACAUUUAACCUACUGAUGCCUCAAUUAAUGUAAUUUUAUUGGUAUCUAUUUUUAUUUCUGAAAUUUACCACCCUUGGCUUAUACUGUAGUCAAUGUAUUCCCAGUUUUUUUUGUUUUGUUUUUUGUGGUAAAAUUAGGUGCUUCGGCUUAUAUUUGGGUCAGCUUAUACUCGAGUAUAUAUGGUAAUUGUAUCUAGGAUCCACAGAAAUAUCCACAUUAAUUGUUUGUCUAAUCAGUGAAUUAAUCAUUCAGCAAGAAUUUGUAUCUGGGUUUUCUAUGUAUAAAUGCACAAUGACAGUUAUUGAUCCAUACUGUUCAGGGUUCUUUUAACCUAAAUCAUAGAUCUUUCCAUCAUGUCUAUUACAUUGAAAGUUUCUUCAUUCGGUCCCACAACUCUUAUGAGGCCAUCCAGUGUUAGCAAAGGGGACACAUGAUCCUCUCAUUACAACAAGUCUUUAUCUAUCCCCUCUAAUUGACUAUGUCUACCUCGCAGCCCUGAUUACUGGUACAGUAGAGUUUCACUUAUCCAACAUUCGCUUAUCCAACAUUCUGGAUUAGCCAAAGCAGUUUGCCUCCCACCCCGAUCCACAGCUGUUUCUCUAGGCAGCAAGGGUUGAACUUUUUAUGGAUUUAAUUUCCGACAAUGUUGCUGCUGUAAGUUCAUUUUAUGUAAUUCUAUCUUUAUUUGUAGUCAAUUUGUUAGUAGCCACUGAUUUCAAUAUAUUGCGAUGGUGCUAAAUUCAUAAUUACUACAUAACGUUACUGUGUAUUGAACUGCUUUUUCUGUGGAUUUGUUGUAAAACAUGAUGUUUUGGUGCUUAAUUUGUAAAAUCAUAACCUAAUUUGACAUUUAAUGGGCUUUUCCUUAAUCCCUCCUUAUUAUCCAACAUUUUCGCUUAUUCAACGUUCUGCCGGCCCAUUUAUGUUGGAUAAGUGAGACUCUACUGUAUUUGACUCCUUAAUGGAAUAUACUGACUGGAACUGGAACUGUGUUCAUUUUAAUUGAACUGUUUCUACUGUUGUCUUAUGAUAUUAUUUUUAUUAUGUUUGUUCAUGCUGCUGUAUGAUGUUUUGACUAUUGCACACAUGUUGGAGUCCUCUUGAGGAGAAUGAGCGGUAUAUAAUUAAAGGAUUAUUUUUAUUAUGACAUAGCAAACAAGAUAGAUAUGCUGGAUUUCAUAUCACAAAAUCACAAGUCGGACACUUCCCAAGUGUUUAGGACUGUGUGAUGUAUUUUCGGAUGAUGCGCGCAGAUCCCAGUAGGGUGGCCUUUUGCAGUUGGCAGAUCGUAAUUUUGUCAAUGCCUAUUGUUUCCAAAUGCCGGCUAGAUCUUUUGGCACGGCACCCAAUGUGCCCAUCACCACCGGGACCACCUGCACUGGUUUCUUCCAGAGUCUUUGAAGUUCAAUCUUGAGGUCCUGAUAGUGGCUGAGCUUUUCCUGUUGUUUUUCAUCAAUGCGACUGUCACCUGGGAUAGCAACAUUAAUGAUCCAACCCUUUUUCUUUUCCACAACUGUGAUGUCUGGUGUGUUGUGUUCCAGAACUUUGUCAGUCUGGAUUCGGAAGUCCAGUAUUUUUGCAUGCUCAUUUUCCAAUACUUUUGCAGGUUUGUGAUCCCACAAGUUCUUUCCUGCUGGCAGGUGGUACUUGAAGCAUAAGUUCCAAUGAAUCAUUUGGGCCAGAUAGUUGUGCCUCUGUUUGUAGUCUGUCUGUGCGAUUUUCUUACAGCAGCUGAGGAUAUGAUCAAUGGUUAUUAGGGUUAUUAUUAUUAUUAUUAUUAUUAUUAUUAUUAUUAUUACUAUUAUUACUAUUAUUACUAUUAUUACUUGAUGUACCAUCUGUUUCUAUGGGUUCCAGGUACAAUUAUGUGGAAUGAACUAUAACAACAGCAGCAGUAACCUUCAAACAAUCUUAGUUUUAGCUGUGGUUACUUCCCUUUAAUAAAUCCUUAAAUAUUUGCUUUAAGCAGAAGCAUGUUGCAGUGGAAAUAUUCUGAGUUAUAUGGCUAUUUGGAAGGGCCCACAGUAAGAACAAUGAGAAGAGAGAGGAGACACAGAUGGAUGUAGUUUCAAGACAAGUUAAUGUUGAUUAAAAAAAAAAACCAGGAUAUCAAUGUACAGACUGGGAAUCAGACUUUGAAAAUCAAUGUUCAAACUAUAGGAAAAAAUAUGACUUGCUAGAGACAAAUUGUCCAUAUAAUCCAUAGAUUGAAAUGCAUCCUUGUAAGUACAACUGGGUAAAGAUUGCGUAAAUUUUAUCAGUUAAGUGUUCUUUCUUUUCUAUUCUGGGUUACAGAGAUUCGUGGACAUCCCAAGAAGCACUGCUGCAGGUUCUGCAACAAAAACGAGUUACCACAUAUAAUAAUACCUGGACCUUUGUCUUAAAUCUGAAGAAAAUCAUUUAGAUACGUGAUUUCCAUACUUGGACUGCUUGCGAUUUGGAAUCUUCCUUUCCAGACAAUCUUCAUUCAAUAAUAUCAAUUAAUGCACAGAGUAUUCCUGGCCUGUUUAGUCACUUGACUUCCUAAAAUGGGUUCAAAAAUUCAGUUUGAAUCGGUCCAUUGAUGGAAUCUGGUAUCUCAAAUCAUUGCUCAUUUACAGCUGAUGUAUUUCCCCUUAUACAGCAUAUGGCUACUCCAUGCACUGCACAAUGUAGCAAUUAUUGAGUGCAGUGGUAGGAAAAGGAGAGAUGAAUUGAAAUAAUUAUGUUUAAUUCAUCAAUGUGAGUGGUGGCAGAAUGAUGACCUGAGAUCUUUAUGUCACAGAGUCUACAGCUUUGCCUUAAUAAAUAUGGAAUGCUCUGCUGUAAGUAUUACAAAGGCCUUUCUUGCUUUCAAUGUCCUUAAGCUGGGAUAGGUGAUCUCAAGCAGGUCUGGAAACCAGUUCUGAAUACCUAGGACCGAUUGUGAGCACAAUUCCCUUUGAAAAAAUAUAUAGGCAUUUUCAAAAGUGACUUUUUAAAAAACAGAAUCAUUUCUCUUGCUGGCAAGAUAUCCAAGACAUAUGUGAGCUGCUAUAUCUCAGCAGUACAAUCCCAGAUUUUCUUUUAAGUUGGUAUCCUUAAUUCUAUUGCUAUGUGACCUGUGCUAAUGGUGCAAUAUCAGACAGGAAGCUGUAUGAUUAACUUCCAUUUCUGUAAGUGUGCAGAUGUGUCUAACUUCCUUCCAGGAUCUAAAGCAAGAAUAAUUGAAAUUUAACCAAAAGAGGUCAUCCAUUUGUUACUCAGUGUUAACUGAGGCCAGGUAAAUCCUCUAGGUGCAUUAGCCCUGUUGUUCUAUCAUCUUUUACUCUAAACAGAGCUUGGUGUGGACAUGUCCUGAAAUUCAUAUUUUUUUUUUGCUCUUCUUGAGUUCUAGAGAACCCAUGGGCCUGUCACAGUCACCAUUUUGAAUGACUAGAUGUGACCACAUUAUUUUUGGUUUCACUUUGAAUGAUUUCUUUUUUGAGGAGGAGUUCCUUGUUUCAAAAGAGGGUAUCACCUGAAUCAACAUUUUAUGGCAUUUAUAAAUUAUUAUUUUUAUUUAUUAUUUAAACUUAUGUGCUGCCACUCCCUUAGGGCUCGGGGCGGCUUACAAGAAAGGCUAAAAUCUAACAAUUUAAAAACAUCUUUAAAAUAUCUUUUAGAAAACAUCUUAAAAACACCCCCCCAGGGCUCGGAGUGGCUUACAAAAACAAGCUAAAAUCUAAGCAAUUUAAAAACAGCAGUAAUGGAGAUCAAAAGUCUGCCGAAACAGGUGUGUCUUACAUGCCCUGCGGAAGACUGAUAAGUCCCACAAGGCACGAACUUCGGGUGGCAGAGUGUUCCAGAGUGAUGGCGCCACUGCUGUAAAAGCUCUACGUCUAGUUGCUUUUAGGCACAAGGUCUUAAAACUGGGAACUUCCAAUAGAUCUUGGUCCUCAGAACGGAGGGAUCUCUGGGGUUGGUAGGGGGUGAGGCGGUCCCUCAGGUACAUUGGCCCUAGACCAUGUAAGGCCUUAAAGGUAAGCACCAUCACUUUGAAAGUGAUCCAGUGCUCAAUUGGUAACCAGUGCAGCUGUAGUAAGAUUGGUGUUAUAUGACAUCUCAUCGGGACUCCCGCAAGAAGUCGAGCAGCUGCAUUUUGUACCAACUUGAGCUUCCGGAUCACCGACAAAGGAAGGCCAAUGUAGAGGGUGUUACAGUAGUCCAGUCUUGAGAUGUCCGUGGCCUGGAUCACUGUAGCUAGGUCAUCCCUUGACAGAUAGGGGGCUAGCCAUCUAGCCUGCCGCAGGU
ensembl:lncRNA